GAGGUGUUCCUCCCUCAGGGAUCUCAUCUGGUGUUUCUUGAACUCUCACAAUUUGUUUAUCAGCAAACCUGCAUCUAUUGUGAACCAGAGUCAUUGAGUUCCUUGCCAGACAUUCUUGCUUGCCGCAUAUUGUCGGCUCGCUAAUUCUUCCUCUGUCUACAACAAUUGGGUCAGAGUAAUAGCCACAAACAAGACAUCUAAAUAUUGCUUCUCUUAUCUCUGGAAUAAUUGCACUACAACGGAUAAUCAUCCCUUUGAGUGACACCAUCUUCUC
rnacentral:misc_RNA from 1 species